CUCCAUGUGGCAAAUCAUACAGCUAAAUAUACAUAUAUAGCAUUUCUUUAUAUAAAUACACACUCACACAUGCUAAACUGCACAGCCUAUAAAAUGACACUAAUCAUAUGUACAAGCUAUUAUAUUUCAAAUAUAUAUGCACACACCAUACAGAUUAACAAAUACUCGUAGCCAGACAAUAAUGAAAUACAGAUAGAAUAUGAAAUCAUAUUUUUCAAGCGUUGUUGUCAUUACAUUCGAAUCCUUACAGUUCUUAAUAUACAACUUAGCUUUUAAUAUCCUGAAUAAGUCUAUAUUACAUAAUCAAAA